UAGGUAGGCGUCCUGCUAAGUCGGAUGUGAAAUCCCUUGGCUUAACCAAGGAAUUGCAUUCGAAACUGUCAGGAUUGAGCACGGAAGAGGGGAGCGGAAUUCCCGGUGUAAGGGUGACAUCUGUAGAGAUCGGGAGGAACACCAGUGGCGAAAGCGGCUCCCUGGUCCAGUGCUGACGCUGAACUACGAAAGCUAGGGGAGCAAACAGGAUUAGAUACCCUGGUAGUCC
rnacentral:rRNA from 1 species